CCUACGGGUGGCAGCAGUGGGGAAUAUUGCACAAUGGGGGAAACCCUGAUGCAGCGACGCCGCGUGAGUGAAGAAGUCAUUCGUUAUGUAAAGCUCUAUCAGCAGGGAAGAAAAUGACGGUACCUGAGUAAGAAGCCCCGGUUAAAUACGUGACAGCAGCCGCGGCAAUAAGUAGGGGGCAAGCGUUAUCCGGAUUUACUGGGGGUAAAGGGGGCGUAGGCGGGAGUGCAAGGCUGGAGGGAAAGGCGGGGGCUCAACCCCCGUACUGCCGUUGAAACUGUAUGGCUGGAGUGCAGGAGAGGUAAGUGGAAUGCGUGGUGUAGCGGUGAAAUGCGUAGAUAUUAGGAGGAACACCAGUGGCGAAGGCGGCUUACUGGACUGCAACUGACGUUGAGGCGCGAAAGCGUGGGGAGCAAACAGGAUUAGAUACCCUUGUAGUC
rnacentral:rRNA from 1 species